AACGAACGCUGGCGGAAUGCUUUACACAUGCAAGUCGAACGGUAGAGGGGGCAACCCCUCGAGAGUGGCGAACGGGUGAGUAAUAUAUCGGAACGUGCCCAGUCGUGGGGGAUAACGUAGCGAAAGUUACGCUAAUACCGCAUACGAUCUAAGGAUGAAAGCGGGGGAUCGCAAGACCUCGCGCGAUUGGAGCGACCGAUAUCAGAUUAGGUAGUUGGUGGGGUAAAGGCUCACCAAGCCAACGAUCUGUAGCUGGUCUGAGAGGACGACCAGCCACACUGGAACUGAGACACGGUCCAGACUCCUACGGGAGGCAGCAGUGGUGAAUUUUGGACAAUGGACGCAAGUCUGAUCCAGCCAUUCCGCGUGCAGGAUGAAGGCCCUCGGGUUGUAAACUGCUUUUGUACGGAACGAAAAGGUCUCUCUUAAUACGGGGGGCUCAUGACGGUACCGUAAGAAUAAGCACCGGCUAACUACGUGCCAGCAGCCGCGGUAAUAC
rnacentral:rRNA from 1 species